UUUUUUUUUUUUUUCUGCUAUGUACCAUUGGCUUACUAGGCAAAUGCUCAAGACAGCUCCUUGUUAGCUGUUUGUAAUUGCUGCUGAUUUUUCUGCUCAGCACGGUGCACACCUUGUUUGUGUCAUCAGCUGUGCAGACUUCCAGCACGGCCCAUCUGCAGUACUGCUAUGAGUGGUUGUCCAUGUAUGGGCGGCACAUUCUACACUCCACCUAUAUCAUUAAGGGAUUUUUCUUUCAGUCAUUACUUAACAUGUGAUGCAUCAUACAGCUGAUGCGGUCACAUGGUAUCUUUUUAACCAAUGAGAGUUAUAGCCAUGCUAUAUAAGAACGCCGGGGAGUUUGAAUGGUGUCAUUCUCCCUCCUCAGCAUUUGCAAGGAGCAUCUAAUUGAUCUCUGUACAACAUCCAUAAGAAGGUGCUUUCCACCCAGGAUCUCGCUGCUGGAAGUCCUUUUGGUUUACAUACUUAUAUAUAUGCUGGAUAAUCUCCACAGGUUACAUAUUCUUUGGGGCACCUUUUUCUCUCCAUAUGGAAAACAUUUCAUCUUGAGAGUUAGUCCACUUUUCCAUCAAAUUCACUCUUUUAAACGCCUUUUUUGACCUUUUUGGUCUCAAUCUCUGAUGAGAUAGUGUUUGGCGAUUUUAUGUGGAUUUGGAUUACGGAUCGGCUUGGGGAUCUUGGGUCAGCACUGUGGAGGUUAUUUCAGGUGUAGAAUGGAGACACAGCCAUAGGCACUACGAAACAGUAAAGACACUUUACAUCCCUGAUGAAGAUCAAACUUUGAAAGUUUUUUCGGAAACGCGUCGGAUCAGUCCAUCUUUCAGAAAUUCACCUCUUUGGGGUGAAUUUCAUGUUGUAACAUGGCAUAGUGUCAAUCUGUCUAUUUAUAUGUUUUCAAUGUAAAUGUUUUGUUUUCUUUCCACCAAUUUUGUAU